AGCAGAGAUGCUUUAGUGCCUUCGGGAACUCUGAGACAGGUGCUGCAUGGCUGUCGUCAGCUCGUGUUGUGAAAUGUUGGGUUAAGUCCCGCAACGAGCGCAACCCUUAUCCUUUGUUGCCAGCACGUAAUGGUGGGAACUCAAAGGAGACUGCCGGUGAUAAACCGGAGGAAGGUGGGGAUGACGUCAAGUCAUCAUGGCCCUUACGAGUAGGGCUACACACGUGCUACAAUGGCGCAUACAAAGAGAAGCGACCUCGCGAGAGCAAGCGGACCUCAUAAAAGUGCGUCGUAGUCCGGAUUGGAGUCUGCAACUCGACUCCAUGAAGUCGGAAUCGCUAGUAAUCGUAAAUCAGAAUGUUACGGUGAAUACGUUCCCGGGCCUUGUACACACCGCCCGUCACACCAUGGGAGUGGGUUGCAAAAGAAGUAGAUAGCUUAACCUUCGGGAGGGCGUUUACCACUUUGUGAUUCAUGACUGGGGUGAAGUCGUAACAAGGUAAGCGUAGUGCU
rnacentral:rRNA from 1 species